rnacentral:rRNA from 1 species
UACGUAGGGCGCAAGCGUUGUCCGGAAUUAUUGGGCGUAAAGGGCGCGUAGGCGGCGCGGUAAGUCACUUGUGAAAUCUCUGAGCUUAACUCAGAACGGCCAAGUGAUACUGCAGUGCUAGAGUGUGGAAGGGGCAAUCGGAAUUCUUGGUGUAGCGGUGAAAUGCGUAGAUAUCAAGAGGAACACCUGAGGUGAAGACGGGUUGCUGGGCCAACACUGACGCUGAUGCGCGAAAGCCAGGGGAGCAAACGGG